rnacentral:rRNA from 1 species
UGGGGAAUAUUGCACAAUGGACGGUAGUUUGAUGCAGCGACGCCGCGUGGAGGGUGUAGGCCUUCGGGUUGUGAACUCCUUUUUCUCGCGAAAAAGGCACAGUUUUGGCUGUGUUGAUGGUAGUGGGGGAAGAAGCGCCGGCUAACUACGUGCCAGCAGCCGCGGUAAUACGUAGGGCGCGAGCGUUGUCCGGAUUUAUUGGGCGUAAAGAGCUCGUAGGUGGUUCGUCGCGUCUGUCGUGAAAGCCAGCAGCUUAACUGUUGGUCUGCGGUGGGUACGGGCGGGCUUGAGUGCGGUAGGGGUGACUGGAAUUCCUGGUGUAGCGGUGGAAUGCGCAGAUAUCAGGAGGAACACCGAUGGCGAAGGCGGUUCUCUGGACCUUUCCUGACGCUGAGAAGCGAAAGCGUGGGUAGCAAACAGG